AAUCCUAGCAAGAGGCAGAGGGAGCGAGCGGGCGCGCCCGCCUGGGUAGAAGAGCAGAGCGAGGCGAGCGAGCCGAGUCGCGCUCCGGGCGCCCGGGGAAGGGAGAUCCGGAGUGAAAGGGUGCUUCGCCUCCGGCCCACCCCACCCUGCCCGCCGCCCCCUGCCAGCGGUGCGCAACCCCCCGCCGCACCCGCGAAACUUUGCCGGUUGCGGCGGGCGGACACUGUUCCCUGGAACUUACAACACCCGAGCAAGAACGCGACUCUCCGGUCCGCCUAUUUGGGGAAACAC
rnacentral:other from 1 species